UGGCGGCUCUCUGUAGUGAGUUUGGGGACCUGGUACAGAUCAAGAAACAGCUAAUAUCGGUGAUAUCGCUUUGUAAAGAAAGAGGAUUUUACACAGCGCGAAGUGGGCUUCUGAAUUGGCAUUUGCUUUGAACCCUCUUCCCAAGAAUGAACUACCCCCGUCAUCUCCUUUUACUGAGGAAGAUGCACAAGACCUGGAUGCACUUACACUGGCCAAAUCCUACUUUGACCUGAAAGAGUAUGACCU